UUCUUUUAUUUAUAUUUUUUAAAUUUAUAUGCGUAUAAUUUAAUUACAUGAUGGAAAUAAAAUAACAAGAAUUUUAUGCUGUUACAUCUUUGAUUUUCAUCAUGUUAUUCGAGAAAAAAGCAGUCUUUACAAUUGCAAAUUAAAACUUAUUAAUAGCAGAUGCACAUUUUUAUAAAUAAUUAUCCGUAUCAAUUCUAUCAUAAAUAUUUCAUUUUCCAGCAUUGUUCAUAUUUUUUGGAAGACCCAAUAAAGUGUUAAUAAUCUCGGAAUUACGUUUUGGAUAGCAAAGCCGUGGCGAUGCCAUUAGCAGUCUAGCAAGUUGCAAUUCGUUGUCCUGGAAAAAAAGUCGAUUUUAAGUAUUAUUUUUUGUUAAGACAUACAAUUUUAUAAUUCAUUACUAUUCAUAAAUCAUGUUUAUGUAUUGUUCCUUAAUAUCAGUAAUUUAAAUUCAUUCCAUAGAACUGAUACUCCGACGUAAUUUGUUAAUUAAUUAAGUAUAUAAUCGAAGAGAAAAAAAUUUUACCAAUCCUCUUCCAUAAGGAACGUUCAUCGAGAAGACGUUCCUAUCUGUAUCAUCCAUGCUGGCAAAUAUCUGAUAGAUAGUUCCAACCAUAAGAAUGAGAAUGUAUAAGAACUUCAUUUUGAUGUUGAUUUCGAUCUUUCUACUGCAAAAAAACAAGAAGAAUUUGUAUACGUACAUUUAUAGGAUAAACGAAAAUUUUCGCAAAAUUUUUAUUUCUUUUUUAACGCUAUAAUGCGGAAGACGGAAAAUCCCGUUUUACUUCAUCCAUAUUUCUGGAAGUUAAGACAAUUUUAGACUCAUAAAACUUCCUGAAUUAAAUGCGACUUCAAAUAUUAUGUAAUUUUUAUUGGUGUCAAGUGCACUGUAGGAAAUCACCAAAAAUAGCCCAUGCCACGUAAAUUAAUGUGUGAAAAAUUAUACCGCAUAUAAGGUGUUAAUUAGUUAAAAAAAAAAAAAGAUAAAAAUAAUAAUCUUUUAAAUAAUAUCAAUUAAAUCAAGUGAUUUUAAUAAUUUAAAGAUUUUUCGGAAUAACAUUUUAGAAGCUUCAUAUAAAAUAUUAAAACUGAUCCUUACCUUUUUAUAUUCUUAGAAACUUAGAAUUUUCUACUGCAAAUCUAGAACUGCCGCAAGUACAUUGCCCAAGGAAUAAGAAGACAAGUCUCCUGUUUCUGAACAACGAAGACGUCUUUUUACGUGAAUGCGCGAAUGCGUUAAAGCGCCUUUAAUUUCUUUCUUUCGUAUGCAGAAGAUAAAUAUGACAGAUUAUAGAAAUAGAUUUAUUAUUUCGAUGAGGUAACUAAAUUAACUUACUCAUUGAUGUAAACAUUUUGUAUAAUACAUAUAUAAUUGCAGUUUUUUAA